AGUUGCCAUAGUAGCCACUCCCCUUUGGCAGAACUGAUGGAUAAUAAUGGUGCUACAGGGCUGUUCUUAUUGCUUAUCAGAGCUCUGCCAUUUAUGAGUAUCAGGUGAAACUAAUCUAUCAGACAGUUGCCCUAAUACACUACUGCUUAUGGAGAAUGUCACUGAGGGCCACAGUACAUCUUCAGCAAGUUUCUAAGUUAUAUGAACAAGACGCACAACAAUGGAGACUGACUGGUCAUCACCUCAAAGACAGAACAUUUGCAUAUUUAUGCGUGCUGCAAAGGCUCAUUCAUCAGUUCUGUGUUCUCAUCCCUAGUGGUCGUUCCAGCUCCUGCGGAAUUUCUAAGCAUCUUUUUACAAAAGAAUCCAUCCUGACUUGAGGCCUAAGGACGCAUCUACUAACAACGUGCAUCCAAGACUGAAAAUAUUCAGCAGUAUUAAAGUGAGAGAGAAUAAAUGAUACUGUUAUACCUGA